CCAGACUCCUACGGGAGGCAGCAGUGGGGAAUAUUGCACAAUGGGGGAAACCCUGAUGCAGCGACGCCGCGUGAGUGAAGAAGUAUUUCGGUAUGUAAAGCUCUAUCAGCAGGGAAGAAAAUGACGGUACCUGAUUAAGAAGCCCCGGCUAACUACGUGCCAGCAGCCGCGGUAAUACGUAGGGGGCAAGCGUUAUCCGGAUUUACUGGGUGUAAAGGGAGCGCAGGCGGCGCGGUAAGUCUGACGUGAAAGCCCGGGGCUCAACCCCGGGACUGCAUUGGAAACUGUCGUGCUGGAGUGUCGGAGGGGCAAGUGGAAUUCCUAGUGUAGCGGUGAAAUGCGUAGAUAUUAGGAGGAACACCAGUGGCGAAGGCGGCUUGCUGGACGACAACUGACGCUGAGGCUCGAAAGCGUGGGGAGCAAACAGGAUUAGAUACCCCAGUA
rnacentral:rRNA from 1 species